AAUCAACGCUGGCGGCGCGCUUAACACAUGCAAGUCGCACGAGAAAGGGAGCAAUCCUGAGUAUAGUGGCGCACGGGUGAGUAACACGUGGAUCAUCUACCUCCUUGUGGGGAAUAACCCUGGGAAACCGGGGCUAAUACCGCAUACGUCCGAGAGGAGAAAGCCGAAAGGCGCAGGGAGAGGAGUCCGCGGUCGAUUAGCUAGUUGGCAGGGUAAUGGCCUACCAAGGCGACGAUCGAUAGCCGGCCUGAGAGGGCACACGGCCACACUGGCACUGAAACACGGGCCAGACUCCUACGGGAGGCAGCAGUGGGGAAUCUUGCACAAUGGGGGAAACCCUGAUGCAGCGACGCCGCGUGAACGAUGAAGCCCUUCGGGGUGUAAAGUUCUUUCGACGGGGACGAUAAUGACGGUACCCGGAGAAGAAGCUGCGGCUAACUACGUGCCAGCAGCCGCGGUAAU
rnacentral:rRNA from 1 species